UUAUAAGAGACAGCAGUAGCCGCGGUAAUACGUAGGGUGCAAGCGUUAAUCGGAAUUACUGGGCGUAAAGCGUGCGCAGGCGGUGUUGUAAGACUGAUGUGAAAUCCCCGGGCUCAACCUGGGAACUGCAUUGGUGACUGCAACGCUGGAGUGCGGCAGAGGGGGAUGGAAUUCCGCGUGUAGCAGUGAAAUGCGUAGAUAUGCGGAGGAACACCGAUGGCGAAGGCAAUCCCCUGGGCCUGCACUGACGCUCAUGCACGAAAGCGUGGGGAGCAAACAGGAUUAGAUACCCCCGUAGUCCCUGUCUCUUAUAA
rnacentral:rRNA from 1 species